UUCUUACUAGUUUAUUAAAAACUAUGUUUUUUCAAAACAUGAUUCCUUUUAAAGGGUAAGAAU
rnacentral:tRNA from 1 species